GAGAGAGAGAGAGAGAGAGAUGCCCAUGAUCAGAAAGCAAGUUAAUUUUUAAAGUUCUCUUCAUGGAAAUGCAUGAGGAGACAUUCUGAAUCCUGAUUUCUAAUACCUUUACCACUAUUCGAGAAUGACAAUCAUGUACGGAUUUCUUAUUCAUGAUUUCUCAUCUACAUUCCCUACAUUUAGGGGCAUCCAACCGAAUGAGGAAAUGAAUAGUUAAUUCCCAUUCCUAAUCCCCAAAAACCAAAUGGGAACACCAUCUUCAUCAUUGCAGAUAUCCUACUGUUCCAAACUAAAAUUCAGGCAUUCCAAACUGAUAUCAAAACAAUAAGACAACCCAGGAAAAAGUAAACAAUCACAACCAGUUGCUGAUAAAAAAAUCUCAGAACAAUAACAACAAUUCAUUCAAAAUUAUGUUAUAUGCUGAUUCUACGCAGAAAUUGACAAGAAACUCCAAAGCAAUUACAGUCUCAGCUAAGCAAAAAGAGGAUAGACAGCAGUACCCACUUAUUAAGACUGGUAGAAAUCAAAAAUUCACAUCUCAAAACCCUAAGAUAAAAAGAGAGAUAGAGAGAGUGGAGCUUUGUCGACAUUGUACCGAAAGAGCUGAGA
rnacentral:misc_RNA from 1 species